UAGAUACCCUGGUAGUCCACGCCCUAAACGAUGUCGAUUAGCUGUUGGGCAACUUGAUUGCUUAGUAGCGUAGCUAACGCGUGAAAUCGACCGCCUGGGGAGUACGGUCGCAAGAUUAAAACUCAAAGGAAUUGACGGGGACCCGCACAAGCGGUGGAUGAUGUGGAUUAAUUCGAUGCAACGCGAAGAACCUUACCUGGUCUUGACAUGUACGGAAGAACUCAGAGACGAGUUUGUGCCUUCGGGAGCC
rnacentral:rRNA from 1 species